UUAAGCACUCUAACGAGACUGCCGCGGUUAACGUGGAGGAAGGUGGGGAUGACGUCAAAUCAUCAUGCCCCUUAUGUCUAGGGCUACACACGUGCUACAAUGGCUGGUACAACGAGCAGCAAACCCGCGAGGGGGAGCAAAACUUGAAAGCCAGUCCCAGUUCGGAUUGUAGGCUGAAACUCGCCUACAUGAAGUUGGAGUUGCUAGUAAUCGCGAAUCAGCAUGUCGCGGUGAAUACGUUCCCGGGUCUUGUACACACCGCCCGUCACACCAUGAGAGCCGGUAACACCCGAAGCCCGUGAGGUAACCGUAAGGAGCCAGCGGUCGAAGGUGGGAUUGGUGAUUGGGGUGAAGUCGUAACAAGGUAGCCGUAGGAGAACCUGCGGCUGGAUCACCUCCUUUCUAGGGAGA
rnacentral:rRNA from 1 species